rnacentral:rRNA from 1 species
GACGAACGCUGGCGGCGUGCCUAAUACAUGCAAGUAGGACGCAGUUGCGAACGGGUGCGUAACGCGUAGGUAACUACCUAUUAGAGGGGGAUAACUAUUGGAAACGAUAGCUAAUACCGCAUACUAGUAGAUGGACCUGCGUUGUAUUAGCUAGUAGGUAGGGUAAUGGCCGACCUAGGCAACGAUACAUAGCCGAACUGAGGUGGUGAGCGGCUACACUUGGACUUGAACACGGCCCAGACUCCUACGGGAGGCAGCAGUAGGGAAUCUUCGGAAAGGGGGGGAACCCUUACCGAGCAACGCCGCGUGAGGUAAGAAGGUUUUCGGAUCGUAAAGCUCUGUUGUUAAGGAAGCGGUACUUAACCAGAAAGGGACGGCUAACUACGUGCCAGCCGCCGCGGUAAUUC